GAGUUUCUAGCCUGUUGAUUGGCCACUGACCCGUGCUGCAGGCACACAAAGGAAGCUGCACCCACAGCAGUCUGUUGUGGAUGGUUGCUGAGCUGCGCAUUCGGCAUUGGGCUUGCUUUGUUUCCUGCCAGGCCCAGCAUUUUCUUAUACCAGAUCGGCAGGCUUGUGGGCUUCUUCCUAGGUCCCUCCCCUGCACUCUGAAUAGGAAAGCUGGAAGCUGUUCUUUAGAGAAGCUUUAAGACGCCGUAAGAAACCAGAAGAGUGAGCGCCAGUUGUAUGUGCGUGGUCUCCAUCCGCAAAGCCGGAGCUGGGCGCAACAGUGUUGACUUAAGCAUUUUGACUUGUUGAUGUCAAUUUGGAACAGCUGAAAAAAUACAGGAAAAUAAGAUAAAUACGUACAUGUUGAGGGUGGGGACAAAAUGAAGGUUCUGAACCAGCUGCCGGCUUACAGUAGCCAUAUAAGCAGCAGCAGCAAUGCACCAACCUGGUGGCAUGGAAUGUUCACAUGGGAGAGCCGCAUGAGGCCGCCCACCACGCUUCCUGAAGGAUGCCCGUGUGGAAGAAUUUUGACGUGCCAGUGUCCUCGUUCUACAGGGUGUUCCGUUCUUCCGCAAUCUCAGAAAAAUGGGACUAAAAGAAACUAGUUUGUAAAAUAAGAAGACUUCCAUUUUUAAUGACCAACAUGUAUUAAGAUGGACACCUACUCUACGAAAC
rnacentral:sRNA from 1 species